rnacentral:rRNA from 1 species
AGAGUUUGAUCAUGGCUCAGAGGAACGCUGGCGGCAGGCUUAACACAUGCAAGUCGAGCGGGCGUAGCAAUACGUCAGCGGCAGACGGGUGAGUAACGCGUGGGAACGUACCUUUUGGUUCGGACAACACAGGGAAACUUGUGCUAAUACCGGAUAAGCCCUUACGGGGAAAGAUUUAUCGCGAAAGAUCGGCCCGCGUCUGAUUAGCUAGUUGGUGAGGUAAUGGCUCACCAAGGCGACGAUCAGUAGCUGGUCUGAGAGGGAUGAUCAGCCACAUUGGGACUGAGACACGGCCCAAACUCCUACGGGAGGCAGCAGUGGGGAAUAUUGGACAAUGGGCGCAAGCCUGAUCCAGCCAUGCCGCGUGAGUGAUGAAGGCCCUAGGGUUGUAAAGCUCUUUUGUGCGGGAAGAUAAUGACGGUACCGCAAGAAUAAGCCCCGGCUAACUUCGUGCCAGCAGCCGCGGUAAUACGAAGGGGGCUAGCGUUGCUCGGAAUCACUGGGCGUAAAGGGUGCGUAGGCGGGUCUUUAAGUCAGGGGUGAAAUCCUGGAGCUCAACUCCAGAACUGCCUUUGAUACUGAAGAUCUUGAGUUCGGGAGAGGUGAGUGGAACUGCGAGUGUAGAGGUGAAAUUCGUAGAUAUUCGCAAGAACACCAGUGGCGAAGGCGGCUCACUGGCCCGAUACUGACGCUGAGGCACGAAAGCGUGGGGAGCAAACAGGAUUAGAUACCCUAGUAGUCC